GAUGAAGAACGUAGUGAAAUGCGAUAAUUAAUGUGAAUUGCAGGAUUCAGUGAAUCAUCGAGUCUUUGAACGCACAUUGCGCCCCCUGGUAUUCCGGGGGGCAUGCCUGUCCGAGCGUCAUUGCUGCCCUCAAGCACGGCUUGUGUGUUGGGCUUCCGUCCCUGGCAACGGGGACGGGCCCAAAAGGCAGUGGCGGCACCAUGUCUGGUCCUCGAGCGUAUGGGGCUUUGUCACCCGCUCCCGUAGGUCCAGCUGGCAGCUAGCCUCGCAACCAAUCUUUUUAACCAGGUUGACCUCGGAUCAGGUAGGGAUACCCGCUGAACUUAAGCAUAUCAAUAAGCGGAGGA
rnacentral:misc_RNA from 1 species